UGCGUAGGGGGGCAAGCGUUGUCCGGAUUUAUUGGGCGUAAAGAGCGUGUAGGCGGCCAGGUAGGUCAGCUGUGAAAACUCGAGGCUCAACCUCGAGACGUCGGUUGAAACCAUCUGGCUAGAGUCCGGAAGAGGGGAGUGGAAUUCCUGGUGUAGCGGUGAAAUGCGCAGAUAUCAGGAAGAACACCCGUGGCGAAGGCGGCUCUCUGGGACGGUACUGACGCUGAGACGCGAAAGCGUGGGGAGCGAACAGG
rnacentral:rRNA from 1 species